rnacentral:rRNA from 1 species
UACGUAGGGACCAAGCGUUGUUCGGAUUUACUGGGCGUAAAGGGCGCGUAGGCGGCAUGAUAAGUCACUUGUGAAAUCUCCGGGCUUAACUCGGAGCGGCCAAGUGAUACUGUCGAGCUAGAGUGCAGAAAGGGCAAUCGGAAUUCUCGGUGUAGCGGUGAAAUGCGUAGAUAUCGAGAGGAACACCUGAGGCGAAGGCGGGUUGCUAGGCUGACACUGACGCUGAGGCGCGAAAGCUAGGGUAGCAAACGGG